GAUGAACGCUGGCGGCGUGCCUGAUACAUGCAAGUAGAACGCUGAAGCUUGGUGCUUGCACCGAGCGGAUGAGUUGCGAACGGGUGAGUAACGCGUAGGUAACCUGCCUCUUAGCGGGGGAUAACUAUUGGAAACGAUAGCUAAUACCGCAUAAAAGACGAUAUCGCAUGAUAUUGAUUUGAAAGGUGCAAAUGCAUCACUAAGAGAUGGACCUGCGUUGUAUUAGCUAGUUGGUGAGGUAACGGCUCACCAAGGCAACGAUACAUAGCCGACCUGAGAGGGUGAUCGGCCACACUGGGACUGAGACACGGCCCAGACUCCUACGGGAGGCAGCAGUAGGGAAUCUUCGGCAAUGGGGGCAACCCUGACCGAGCAACGCCGCGUGAGUGAAGAAGGUUUUCGGAUCGUAAAGCUCUGUUGUAAGAGAAGAACGAGUGUGAGAGUGGAAAGUCACACUGUGA
rnacentral:rRNA from 1 species